GAUGAACGCUGGCGGCGUGCCUAAUACAUGCAAGUCGAGCGAACAGACGAGGAGCUUGCUCCUCUGACGUUAGCGGCGGACGGGUGAGUAACACGUGGAUAACCUACCUAUAAGACUGGGAUAACUUCGGGAAACCGGAGCUAAUACCGGAUAAUAUGUUGAAUCGCAUGGUUCAACAGUGAAAGACGGUCUUGCUGUCACUUAUAGAUGGAUCCGCGCCGCAUUAGCUAGUUGGUAAGGUAACGGCUUACCAAGGCAACGAUGCGUAGCCGACCUGAGAGGGUGAUCGGCCACACUGGAACUGAGACACGUUCCAGACUCCUACGGGAGGCAGCAGUAGGGAAUCUUCCGCAAAGGGCGAAAGCCUGACGGAGCAACGCCGCGUGAGUGAAGAAGGUCUUCGGAUCGUAAAACUCUGUUAUUAGGGAAGAACAAAUGUGUAAGUAACUAUGCACGUCUUGACGGUACCUAAUCAGAAAGCCACGGCUAACUACGUG
rnacentral:rRNA from 1 species